AUGACUGAAAAGGCUGUGUGGGAUGAUGCCCAUUUGAAGAAACUCAUUGAUAUAUUGAGAGAAGAGGUUUCAAAUGGAAAUAGACCAUUAGGUCAUCUAAGCAAGAAGGGCUGGAAAAAUGUUUUGGAGAAAUGGGAAGCAAGAACGGGAAAGAAGUAUCCCAAGGAUAAAUUCAAGAACAAAUGGGAUGCAAUAAAAAAUGAGUAUGUUUGGUUCAUGGAGCUGAAAAAUGAAGCUACUGGACUUGGAUGGAAUGAUGCAAAGGGGACUGUUGAUUGCUCAAAAGAAUGGUGGGACGAACAUCUUGUGAGAUGCCAGGAGAGGACAAAAAAGAAAUGCAACCAUUUGAAGUUCAAAAAGCACGGACCAAAGCACCUUGAAGAUUUACAUGUCAUAUUUCAGAAUGUACAUGUCACUGGGGCUAGUGCUUCUUGUGCUGGAGAUAUUUCCUCCAAUGAAUCAAGUGAUGACAAUGCAGUUCUUUUGAAGAAACCAGAAGAUAAUGCUGAAAUAAAACUGUCCUCUUUGAAGAAAAAGUGCAAGCAACCCUCUAAUGUAAAUGAGGAGAAGGAUGAAAAGAGUCCCUUCUUACGGUUUUACAAGCAGACAUGUUAGAAGAUAGAAAGUGGAGUCGACAAGAUAACCUCAAGUGUGGAGGCAUCAUCGGCGCCAACCAACCAUGUCCCUACGAUUUCAGAGGUCAUGAAGAUGGUGAAAGAAUGUGGUGUCAAAGAAGAAACUGCUCUCAUGCACACAACGCUCACUCUUAUGGUGAAGUCUGACUUUAGGGAAAUCUUCAAUGCUCUUGAAACAAAAGAAGGGAGGCUUGAUUACCUGAAGAGGGAGCAUGAGAGGGAGAUGUUGAAGCACGUGUAG
rnacentral:rRNA from 1 species